rnacentral:sRNA from 1 species
UUUUAGCCCAGAUUGAAAUGGAAAUCCCGGAGCAAAAAAAAUAAAGUUUCUUGUUUAAAAAAAGCGACCAACGGAAGCUCUUUUUUGAACAAUAGAAACUCUAUUUUUUUUGUGAGGAAUUGAAAUGGAAAGCUGGAAAUAGC